GAUGAACGCUAGCUACAGGCUUAACACAUGCAAGUCGAGGGGAAACGAUAUUGGAAGCUUGCUUCUGAUAGGCGUCGACCGGCGCACGGGUGAGUAACGCGUAUCCAACCUGCCCAUCACUUGGGGAUAACCUUGCGAAAGUAAGACUAAUACCCAAUGACGUCUCUAGAAGACAUCUGAAAGAGAUUAAAGAUUUAUCGGUGAUGGAUGGGGAUGCGUCUGAUUAGCUUGUUGGCGGGGUAACGGCCCACCAAGGCGACGAUCAGUAGGGGGUUCUGAGAGGAAGGUCCCCCCACAUUGGAACUGAGACACGGUCCAAAACUCCUACGGGAGGCAGCAGUGAGGAAUAUGGUCAAUGGACGAGAGUCUGAACCAGCCAAGUAGCGUGCAGGAUGACGGCCCUAUGGGUUGUAAACUGCUUUUAUAAGGGAAUAAAGUGGGAGUCGUGACUCUUUUUGCAUGUACCUUAUGAAUAAGGACCGGCUAAUUCCGUGCCAGCAGCCG
rnacentral:rRNA from 1 species